CACUAUCUUGGGGCUGUCGGUUCCGCAGGCUCCCAAGGGGCUGUGGAUUAAAACGGGAAGCCGGUGACGCCUCGCGCCAGUCCGGCACUGCCCCGCAGCGGUAAUUGGGAACGACCCCGCCAUGGCACUGGAGCGAUCCGGGAAGCGGCGGGCAAGGGGAAGGCACCGCCUUCGCGCCCAUGAGUCCGAAGACCUGCCGACAGCCGCGCGAAAGC
rnacentral:ncRNA from 2 species